UACGUAGGGGGCUAGCGUUGUCCGGAAUCAUUGGGCGUAAAGCGCGUGUAGGCGGUCCGGUAAGUCCGCUGUGAAAGUCGGGGGCUCAACCCUCGAAUGCCGGUGGAUACUGUCGGGCUAGAGUGCGGAAGAGGCGAGUGGAAUUCCUGGUGUAGCGGUGAAAUGCGCAGAUAUCAGGAGGAACACCAAUUGCGAAGGCAGCUCGCUGGGACGUAACUGACGCUGAGACGCGAAAGCGUGGGGAGCGAACAGG
rnacentral:rRNA from 1 species